GAGCGAACGGGGAGCAGCCCAGAGCCUGAAUCAGUGUGUGUGUUAGUGGAAGCGUCUGGAAAGGCGCGUGAUACAGGGUGACAGCCCCGUACACAAAAAUGCACAUGCUGUGAGCUCGAUGAGUAGGGCGGGACACGUGGUAUCCUGUCUGAAUAUGGGGGGACCAUCCUCCAAGGCUAAAUACUCCUGACUGACCGAUAGUGAACCAGUACCGUGAGGGAAAGGCGAAAAGAACCCCGGCGAGGGGAGUGAAAAAGAACCUGAAACCGUGUACGUACAAGCAGUGGGAGCACGCUUAGGCGUGUGACUGCGUACCUUUUGUAUAAUGGGUCAGCGACUUAUAUUCUGUAGCAAGGUUAACCGAAUAGGGGAGCCGAAGGGAAACCGAGUCUUAACUGGGCGUUAAGUUGCAGGGUAUAGACCCGAAACCCGGUGAUCUAGCCAUGGGCAGGUUGAAGGUUGGGUAACACUAACUGGAGGACCGAACCGACUAAUGUUGAAAAAUUAGCGGAUGACUUGUGGCUGGGGGUGAAAGGCCAAUCAAACCGGGAGAUAGCUGGUUCUCCCCGAAAGCUAUUUAGGUAGCGCCUCGUGAAUUCAUCUCCGGGGGUAGAGCACUGUUUCGGCAAGGGGGUCAUCCCGACUUACCAACCCGAUGCAAACUGCGAAUACCGGAGAAUGUUAUCACGGGAGACACACGGCGGGUGCUAACGUCCGUCGUGAAGAGGGAAACAACCCAGACCGCCAGCUAAGGUCCCAAAGUCAUGGUUAAGUGGGAAACGAUGUGGGAAGGCCCAGACAGCCAGGAUGUUGGCUUAGAAGCAGCCAUCAUUUAAAGAAAGCGUAAUAGCUCACUGGUCGAGUCGGCCUGCGCGGAAGAUGUAACGGGGCUAAACCAUGCACCGAAGCUGCGGCAGCGACGCUUAUGCGUUGUUGGGUAGGGGAGCGUUCUGUAAGCCUGUGAAGGUGUACUGUGAGGUAUGCUGGAGGUAUCAGAAGUGCGAAUGCUGACAUAAGUAACGAUAAAGCGGGUGAAAAGCCCGCUCGCCGGAAGACCAAGGGUUCCUGUCCAACGUUAAUCGGGGCAGGGUGAGUCGACCCCUAAGGCGAGGCCGAAAGGCGUAGUCGAUGGGAAACAGGUUAAUAUUCCUGUACUUGGUGUUACUGCGAAGGGGGGACGGAGAAGGCUAUGUUGGCCGGGCGACGGUUGUCCCGGUUUAAGCGUGUAGGCUGGUUUUCCAGGCAAAUCCGGAAAAUCAAGGCUGAGGCGUGAUGACGAGGCACUACGGUGCUGAAGCAACAAAUGCCCUGCUUCCAGGAAAAGCCUCUAAGCAUCAGGUAACAUCAAAUCGUACCCCAAACCGACACAGGUGGUCAGGUAGAGAAUACCAAGGCGCUUGAGAGAACUCGGGUGAAGGAACUAGGCAAAAUGGUGCCGUAACUUCGGGAGAAGGCACGCUGAUAUGUAGGUGAAGUCCCUCGCGGAUGGAGCUGAAAUCAGUCGAAGAUACCAGCUGGCUGCAACUGUUUAUUAAAAACACAGCACUGUGCAAACACGAAAGUGGACGUAUACGGUGUGACGCCUGCCCGGUGCCGGAAGGUUAAUUGAUGGGGUUAGCGCAAGCGAAGCUCUUGAUCGAAGCCCCGGUAAACGGCGGCCGUAACUAUAACGGUCCUAAGGUAGCGAAAUUCCUUGUCGGGUAAGUUCCGACCUGCACGAAUGGCGUAAUGAUGGCCAGGCUGUCUCCACCCGAGACUCAGUGAAAUUGAACUCGCUGUGAAGAUGCAGUGUACCCGCGGCAAGACGGAAAGACCCCGUGAACCUUUACUAUAGCUUGACACUGAACAUUGAGCCUUGAUGUGUAGGAUAGGUGGGAGGCUUUGAAGUGUGGACGCCAGUCUGCAUGGAGCCGACCUUGAAAUACCACCCUUUAAUGUUUGAUGUUCUAACGUGGACCCGUAAUCCGGGUUGCGGACAGUGUCUGGUGGGUAGUUUGACUGGGGCGGUCUCCUCCUAAAGAGUAACGGAGGAGCACGAAGGUUGGCUAAUCCUGGUCGGACAUCAGGAGGUUAGUGCAAUGGCAUAAGCCAGCUUGACUGCGAGCGUGACGGCGCGAGCAGGUGCGAAAGCAGGUCAUAGUGAUCCGGUGGUUCUGAAUGGAAGGGCCAUCGCUCAACGGAUAAAAGGUACUCCGGGGAUAACAGGCUGAUACCGCCCAAGAGUUCAUAUCGACGGCGGUGUUUGGCACCUCGAUGUCGGCUCAUCACAUCCUGGGGCUGAAGUAGGUCCCAAGGGUAUGGCUGUUCGCCAUUUAAAGUGGUACGCGAGCUGGGUUUAGAACGUCGUGAGACAGUUCGGUCCCUA
rnacentral:rRNA from 1 species